rnacentral:tRNA from 1 species
GGUGGCUCAGUGGUAGAGCGUUUGCUUGCAUGCAUGAGGCCCUGGGUUCGAUUCCCCAGUACCA